GCCGGCUUAGCUCAGUUGGUAGCAGCAACGCACUUGUAAUGCGUAGGUCGAGAGUUCGAGUCCCUCAGCCGGCACCA
rnacentral:tRNA from 1 species